UAGACCUACGGACGCAGCAGUGGGGGAUAUUGCACAAUGGGGGGAACCCUGAUGCAGCGACGCCGCGUGGGCGAUGGAGUACUUCGGUAUGUAAAGCCCUAUCAGCAGGGAAGAAAAUGACGGUACCUGACUAAGAAGCCCCGGCUAAAUACGUGCCAGCAGCCGCGGUAAUACGUAUGGGGCAAGCGUUAUCCGGAUUUACUGGGUGUAAAGGGAGCGCAGACGGCAAGGCAAGUCUGAUGUGAAAGUCCGAGGCUCAACCUCGGGACUGCAUUGGAAACUGUCUGGCUAGAGUGCAGGAGAGG
rnacentral:rRNA from 1 species